CACUGCAUCCCGGAUCUGCCACCAAGUUCUCCAGUCUGGGUGCCUAGGGCAGGGCUGCGGGACAACUCCUGGGGACUUUACUUCCCUCAUCUCCGGCAGACCCCAAGUAUGGACUCCUGGGGACUCUCCUUCCCUGAUCUCAAUCACUCCCCAAGUAAGGACUAGUGGGGACUCCCCAUCCAUGAUCUCAAUCACUCCCCAAGUAAGCACUCCUGGGGACUCUCCUUCCCUGAUCACAAUCACUCCCCAAGUAAGGACUUCUGUGGACUCCCAUCCUUGAUCUCAAUCACUCCCCAAGUAAGGACUUCUGGGGACUCCCAUCUCUGAUCUCAAUCACUCCCCAAGUAAGGACUUCUGGGGAUUCCCCAUCCUUGAUCUCAAUCACUCCCCAAGUAAGAACUCCUGGGGACUUUUCUUCCCUGAUCUCAAUCACUCCCCAAGUAAGGUCUCCUGUGGACUCCCCAUCUUAACUAGACCCCAAGUAAGGGCUCCUGGGGAAGCUCCUUCCCUGAUCGCAAUUAUACCCCAAGAAAGGUCUCCUGCAAACUAUCCUUCCCUGAUCACAAUCAUAACGCAAGAAAGGACUCCGGCAGGCUAUCCUUCUCUGAUCUAACAGACCCCUAGAACAUGACUUGCACAAGGUGAGUAAAACCCUAUUGGUGUCUAUAAGACGGUUCCUCCAUCAUUAACGUGCCCCCGUCCACAAGGCCAUUGUUUUAUUUAGCAAAGUACAAGAUGGGCCUUUGGUGCUUUCAAAAGUAGCAGAAUUGCAAUAACAGUUAACAGAUGAUAACAUUUGCAUUUGUGUAAAAUAAAAAUAACAAGGAAAAUAUAGGGUUAGGGCAGCGGUAGAGUAAACACAAAUAAAGCGAAGGUUCAAAAUACGUUCUGUCUUUUAAUAUUUUCAAAUUAAUGACAUAUUAAAUAAAUACACACUGAAUUGCUGAGAACUGAAAACUAAACAUGUUAAUUUAGGUAACAAUAACAGAUUUAAAAAAUAAAAAUAAUAAAUAACACAAUGGCUCUGAAUAUGCUGCUAAUGUUUUUAAAUCUAGGGUCCCUAAUGUGACCCCUAGGUGUCUUACAUGGAAUGUCUAAUGGUGGGUUUGGAGAGCUAGUUUUGUAUAGGAAUGCAGAUACUGGGGUGCAAUGUGAGGGAGAGAACAUGUUCAAAAUUACUGAUUUGAAAUUAUCUAAACGUAAUUAGUCUGAUCCUGGGGUUAAUCCAAAUCUCCUAGGAUUCGAGAAACAUCUUUCUUGUCUUUAAUCAAAAUAGUCGUUCAUUUUCUAUUCACUACAAUUCAGGGAAUAAACCCCAAUGUCUAUAAUAGGAGAUCUUACUGCGCUUGAUCAUUUCAUAAAGAAGUUUAAUAGGUAGCCACAUUCUUAUUCUGGCUGCUGUUUGCAUGGUUGCCGAUUCUUGUUUUGUGACUGUUUGACAGUCUGUCACUAUCUAUAUAUUUCAACCUCCUUCAAUAGACUUCACAUUCAACUCAGCAACUCAUAGACAUAAUACUGAACUCGACAACUUAUAGUCAUAAUACUGAACUCGGCAACUCAUAGACAUAAUACUGAACUCAGCAACUCAUAGACAUAAUACUGAACUCAGCAACUCAUAGACAUAAUACUGAACUCGGCAACACAUAGACAUAAUACUGAACUCGGCAACUGAGAGACAAAAUACUGAACUCAGCAACACAUAGACAUAAUACUGAACUCGGCAACUCAUAGACAUAAUACUGAACUCGGCAACACAUAGUCAUAAUAAUGAACUCGGCAACUCAUAUACAUAAUACUGAACUCAGCAACACAUAGUCAUAAUACUGAACUCGGCAACUGAUAGACAUAAUACUGAACUCAGCAACUCAUAGACAUAAUACUGAACUCGGCAACUGAUAGACGUAAUACUGAACUCGGCAACACAUAGUCAUAAUACUGAACUCGGCAACUCAUAGACAUAAUACUGAACUCGGCAACUGAUAGACAUAAUACUGAACUCGGCAACACAUAGACAUAAUACUGAACUCGGCAACUGAUAGACAAAAUACUGAACUCAGCAACACAUAGACAUAAUACUGAACUCGGCAACUCAUAGACAUAAUACUGAACUCGGCAACACAUAGUCAUAAUACUGAACUCGGCAACUCAUAGACAUAAUACUGAACUCAGCAACACAUAGUCAUAAUACUGAACUCGGCAACUGAUAGACAUAAUACUGAACUCAGCAACUCAUAGACAUAAUAUUGAACACGGCAACUGAUAGACAUAAUACUGAACUCGGCAACACAUAGUCAUAAUACUGAACUCGGCAACUCAUAGACAUAAUACUGAACUCGGCAACUGAUAGACAUAAUACUGAACUCGGCAACCUAUAGAUAAUACUCGAACUCGGCAAUCAUAGACAUACUGAACUCAGCAACCAUAGACAUAAUACUAAACUCAGCAACCCAGAUAAUAAUUGAAUCCCCAAGUAACUGGAUAGUCAUAUCGAACUCGCAAUCAUAGACAUACUCGAACCUCGGCAACUGAUAGACAUACUGAACUCGCAACAAUAUAGUCAUAAUAAUUGAACUCGGCAACUCAUAGACAUAAUACUGAACUCGGCAACUGAUAGACAUAAUACUGAACUCGGCAACACAUAGUCAUAAUACUGAACUCGGCAACUGAUAGACAUAAUACUGAACUCAGCAACUCAUAGACAUAAUACUGAACUCGGCAACUCAUAGACAUAAUACCAAACUCAGCAACUCAUAGACAUAAUACUGAACUCGGCUACUCAUAGACAUAAUACUAAACUCAGCUACUCAGACAUAAUACUAAACUCAGCAACUCAUAGUCAUAAUACUGAACUCAGCAACUCAUAGACAUAAUACUAAAUUCAGCAACUCGUAGACAUAAUACCAAACUCAGCAACUCAUAGACAUAAUACUGAACUCAGCAACUCAUAGACAUAAUACUGAACUCAGUAACUCAUAGACAUAAUACUGAACUCGGCAAGUCAUAGACAUAAUACUGAACUCGGCAACUCAGUCAUAAUACUGAACUCGACAACUUAUAGUCAUAAUACUGAACUCAGCAACUCAUAGACAUAAUACUGAACUUGUCAACUCAUAGUCAUAAUACUGAACUCAGCAACUCAUAGACAUAAUACUGAACUCGGCAACUGAUAGACAUAAUACUGAACUCGGCAACUCAUAGACAUAAUACUAAACUCAGCAACUCAUAGACAUAAUACUGAACUCGGCAAUUCAUAGACAUAAUACUGAACUCAGCAACUCAGUCAUAAUACUAAAUUCAGCAACUCAUAGUUAUUACACUGAACUCAGCAACUCAUAGACAUAAUACUGAACUCGGCAACUCAUAGUCAUAAUAUUGAACUCAGCAACUCAUAGACAUAAUACUGAACUCGACAACUCAUAGACAUAAUACUGAACUCGGCAACUCGUAGACAUAAUACUGAACUCGGCAACUCAUAGACAUAAUACUGAACUCAGCAACUCAUAGACAUAAUACUAAACUCAGCAACUCAUAGACAUAAUACUGAACUCGACAACUCAUAGACAUAAUACUGAACUCAGCAACUCGUAGACAUAAUACUGAACUCGGCAACUCAUAGACAUAAAACUAAACUCAGCAACUCAUAGACAUAAUACUGAACUCAGCAACUCAUAGACAUAAUACUGAACUCGACAACUCAUAGACAUAAUACUGAACUCAGCAACUCAUAGACAUAAUACUGAACUCAGCAACUCAUAGACAUAAUACUGAACUCGGCAAGUCAUAGACAUAAUACUGAACCCGGCAACUCAGUCAUAAUACUGAACUCGACAACUUAUAGUCAUAAUACUGAACUCAGCAACUCAUAGACAUAAUACUGAACUCGGCUACUCAUAGACAUAAUACUAAACUCAGCUACUCAGACAUAAUACUGAACUCAGCAACUCAUAGACAUAAUACUAAACUCAGCAACUCAUAGACAUAAUACUGAACUCGACAACUCAUAGACAUAAUACUUAACUCAGCAACUCGUAGACAUAAUACCGAACUCGGCAACUCAUAGACAUAAUACCAAACUCAGCAACUCAUAGACAUAAUACUGAACUCAGCAACUCAUAGACAUAAUACUGAACUCAGCAACUCGUAGACAUAAUACUGAACUCGGCAACUCAUAGACAUAAUACCAAACUCAGCAACUCAUAGACAUAAUACUGAACUCGGCUACUCAUAGACAUAAUACUAAACUCAGCUACUCAGACAUAAUACUAAACUCAGCAACUCAUAGUCAUAAUACUGAACUCAGCAACUCAUAGACAUAAUACUAAAUUCAGCAACUCAUAGACAUAAUACUGAACUCGACAACUCAUAGACAUAAUACUUAACUCAGCAACUCGUAGACAUAAUACCAAACUCAGCAACUCAUAGACAUAAUACUGAACUCAGCAACUCAUAGACAUAAUACUGAACUCAGCAACUCGUAGACAUAAUACUGAACUCAGCAACUCAUAGACAUAAUACUAAACUCAGCAACUCAUAGACAUUAUACUGAACUCAGCAACUCAUAGACAUAAUACUGAACUCAGUAACUCAUAGACAUAAUACUGAACUCGGCAAGUCAUAGACAUAAUACUGAACUCGGCAACUCAGUCAUAAUACUGAACUCGACAACUUAUAGUCAUAAUACUGAACUCAGCAACUCAUAGACAUAAUACUGAACUUGGCAACUCAUAGUCAUAAUACUGAACUCAGCAACUCAUAGACAUAAUACUGAACUCGGCAACUGAUAGACAUAAUACUGAACUCGGCAACUCAUAGACAUAAUACUAAACUCAGCAACUCAUAGACAUAAUACUGAACUCGGCAACUCAUAGACAUAAUACUGAACUCAGCAACUCAAGACAUAUUACAGACUUCGACAACUCAUAGACAUAAUACUAAACUCAGCAACUCAUAGACAUAAUACUUAACUCAGCAACUCGUAGACAUAAUACCGAACUCGGCAACUCAUAGACAUAAUACCAAACUCAGCAACUCAUAGACAUAAUACUGAACUCAGCAACUCAUAGACAUAAUACUGAACUCAGCAACUCGUAGACAUAAUACUGAACUCGGCAACUCAUAGACAUAAUACCAAACUCAGCAACUCAUAGACAUAAUACUGAACUCGGCUACUCAUAGACAUAAUACUAAACUCAGCUACUCAGACAUAAUACUAAACUCAGCAACUCAUAGUCAUAAUACUGAACUCAGCAACUCAUAGACAUAAUACUAAANNNNNNNNNNNNNNNNNNNNNNNNNNNNNNNNNNNNNNNNNNNNNNNNNNNNNNNNNNNNNNNNNNNNNNNNNNNNNNNNNNNNNNNNNNNNNNNNNNNNUGGGUGUCAGUAUUUCUGUCAGUGUAUGUGUGUCAGUAUGUUGAUCAGUGUGUCUGUGUGUGUGUGUCAGUAUGUCGGUAUAUGUGUCUGUGUGUCAGUAUGUCUGUAUAUGUGCCUGUGUCAGUAUGUCUGUCAGUACGUCUACCAGUGUAUGUGUCUGUGUGUGUGUCAAUAUAUGUACCUGCAGGGCCGGACUUGGAGAAAAAUUCGGCCCGGGCAUUUUUUUAACACAGCGGCCCACUAAAAAGGGGGCGGGGCAGAGGAGGUGUGUUUUGUCAUCACCAAUGACAAACACGCCUCCUCUCAAAGUGAGCAUGUUGGUUCAAUGCUCUUCCAGGGCAGACCAUGCGCGGAGCUCUGCUGAAGAGCUCUAGCAUGAGAAAAAAGUCCUGUAUUUGUUCUGCACAGUGCAAGCAAAUUUAAUAACAUGCUUGCACUGUGUUUCCUUGCAACUUGUCUCUGGUGUCUCUAUAAAUGGAUACCAGGAGACAAAAGGCCAGGAAAAGAGUAUUGUGCAUGUGUUUGGAGCCUGCUUGUGGUAUUGCAUGUGUGUAGAGUGAGCUGGUCGUGGUGUGGUAUUGUGUAAUAAGGUCGGUUUUAGUCGUGUUGUGUUUGUGGUGUAAUGUGAUGCAUAUGUGGCUCAGGGACCCCCUCCCGUCCGGCUCUGGAAAGGGGUUAAAACUUACCUUUUUCCAGCGCCGGGCGGGGAGCUCUCCUCCUCCGAUCCGCCCCGUCGGCUGAAUGCGCACGCGCGGCAAGAGCUGCGCGCGCAUUCAGCCGGUCGCAUAGGAAAGCAUUCAUAAUGCUUUCCUAUGGACGCUUGCAUGCUCUCAGUGUGAUUUUCACAGUGAAAAGCACGCAAGCGCCUCUAGCGGCUGUCAAUGAGACAGCUGCUAGAGGCUUUGGGGGAAGGCUUAACCCAUUGAUAAACAUAGCAGUUUCUCUGAAACUGCUAUGUUUAUAAAACAAUGGGUUAACCCUAGAAGGAUCUGGCACCAAGACCACUUCAUUAAGCUCAUUAGAGUGGCUAGAGUGCCGGGGGUGAGAGUGCCGUGUGAGAGUGCUGUGUGUGUGUGAGAGUGCUGUGAGAGAGUGCUGUGUGUGUUAAAGUGAUGGAUGUAAGAGUGCUGUGUGUGUGUGAGAGUGCUCUGUGAGAGUGCUGUGAGUGUGAUGGGUGUGAGAGUGCUGUAUAAAUGUUAUUGUGUGUGUGUAGGGGGGGUAAAUAAAAUAAAAUUAAAAUAAAAUAAAAAAACAGGCAUUAUGUCCCCCCCUCCCUUCUUACCUUUAGCCUGGGAGAGGUGGGACCGGCACGCUGGGAGGCGGUGUUCCCUGGUGGUCCUCGUGGGUGAGUGAACUCUAGCCCGCAUAGCCUGUCAGGCUAGAGUUCACUCUCGCGAGAUCCGGUUGUUGAAAUGGCAACGCGAGAGGAACCCGGCGGAGAUGCAUAUUAGAGCUCCGCCGGGUCCUCUCUCCAGCCUGGCUGGCUCCCUCCCUCCCCGCCGGCGGCCGCAUUUGGGCCGGUGAGGGAGAGCUUUGAUCUCCCCACCGGCCCGUCGUGGCAACAGCGGGGCCGGCGCUAGGAGAGUGCCGGCCCUGCAUAGACCGGCAGGGGAGAUCCUGGGACCUCCCCUGCCGGCCUCGGCCCAUGGCCACCGCGGCCCACCGGGCAUUUGCCCGGUGUGCCCGAUGGCCAGUCCGGGCCUGUGUACCUGUGUCAGUGUGUCUGUCAGUGUAUGUGCCUGUUUAUCUGUAUGUAGUCAGUGUAUGUAUCUGUGUAUCUGCUUGUGCGUCAGAGUGUGUACCUGUGCAUCUGAGCCGCAACUUUAAAUACAAAUACACCCCUCCAUUCAAACUUCAACACUACAUAUAAAACACACUCCUGCAUUGAAACGUCAACACUACAUACAAGCACACUCCUACAUUCAAAAACAAACACUACACAUAAAUGCACACUUGCAUUCAAACUCCAGCACCACAUACAAACACAUUCACACAAACAUACUCCAUACAAACACAUGCUUACAUUCAAACAUACUAACAUGGCUCAGUGCUAAAUACAACCCUGCAAGCAUGAGAAAUUGGUAGAGUCCCACCUGUCAAAGCAUUGUUGGAGUUGCACGACAGAUGGGGUUCUACCUUUAGUCCAACCUUGCAAUUGGGGGUCCCAAUAAAAUUCAUUCUACUUUAGUACCGCCACUGCGUUGGGAUGGAUGCCGUGACUGCAUACCAGGGAGUGAGGGGCGAGAGCGGCAGGGCACAGGGGGCCCAAGCAAACACUUGCCCAGGGUCCAUUCGUUAUUAAAGACGGCCCUGAUAAUACUGAACUCAGCAACUCAUAGACAUAAUACUAAACUCAGCAACUCAUAGACAUAAUACUUAACUCAGCAACUCGUAGACAUAAUACCGAACUCGGCAACUCAUAGACAUAAUACCAAACUCAGCAACUCAUAGACAUAAUACUGAACUCAGCAACUCAUAGACAUAAUACUGAACUCAGCAACUCGUAGACAUAAUACUGAACUCGGCAACUCAUAGACAUAAUACCAAACUCAGCAACUCAUAGACAUAAUACUGAACUCGGCUACUCAUAGACAUAAUACUAAACUCAGCUACUCAGACAUAAUACUAAACUCAGCAACUCAUAGUCAUAAUACUGAACUCAGCAACUCAUAGACAUAAUACUAAAUUCAGCAACUCAUAGACAUAAUACUGAACUCGACAACUCAUAGACAUAAUACUUAACUCAGCAACUCGUAGACAUAAUACCAAACUCAGCAACUCAUAGACAUAAUACUGAACUCAGCAACUCAUAGACAUAAUACUGAACUCAGUAACUCAUAGACAUAAUACUGAACUCGGCAAGUCAUAGACAUAAUACUGAACUCGGCAACUCAGUCAUAAUACUGAACUCGACAACUUAUAGUCAUAAUACUGAACUCAGCAACUCAUAGACAUAAUACUGAACUUGGCAACUCAUAGUCAUAAUACUGAACUCAGCAACUCAUAGACAUAAUACUGAACUCGGCAACUGAUAGACAUAAUACUGAACUCGGCAACUCAUAGACAUAAUACUAAACUCAGCAACUCAUAGACAUAAUACUGAACUCGGCAAUUCAUAGACAUAAUACUGAACUCAGCAACUCAGUCAUAAUACUAAAUUCAGCAACUCAUAGUUAUUACACUGAACUCAGCAACUCAUAGACAUAAUACUGAACUCGGCAACUCAUAGUCAUAAUAUUGAACUCAGCAACUCAUAGACAUAAUACUGAACUCGACAACUCAUAGACAUAAUACUGAACUCGGCAACUCGUAGACAUAAUACUGAACUCGGCAACUCAUAGACAUAAUACUGAACUCAGCAACUCAUAGACAUAAUACUAAACUCAGCAACUCAUAGACAUAAUACUGAACUCGACAACUCAUAGACAUAAUACUGAACUCAGCAACUCGUAGACAUAAUACUGAACUCGGCAACUCAUAGACAUAAAACUAAACUCAGCAACUCAUAGACAUAAUACUGAACUCAGCAACUCAUAGACAUAAUACUGAACUCGACAACUCAUAGACAUAAUACUAAACUCACAACUCAUAGACAUAAUACUGAACUCGGCAAGUCAUAGACAUAAUACUGAACUCGGCAACUCAGUCAUAAUACUGAACUCGACAACUCAUAGACAUAAUACUGAACUCAGCAACUCAUAGACAUAAUACUGAACUCGGCAAGUCAUAGACAUAAUACUGAACUCGGCAACUCAGUCAUAAUACUGAACUCGACAACUUAUAGUCAUAAUACUGAACUCAGCAACUCAUAGACAUAAUACUGAACUCGGCUACUCAUAGACAUAAUACUAAACUCAGCUACUCAGACAUAAUACUGAACUCAGCAACUCAUAGACAUAAUACUAAACUCAGCAACUCAUAGACAUAAUACUGAACUCGACAACUCAUAGACAACUCAAUACUUAACUCAGCAACUCGUAGACAUAAUACCGAACUCGGCAACUCAUAGACAUAAUACCAAACUCAGCAACUCAUAGACAUAAUACUGAACUCAGCAACUCAUAGACAUAAUACUGAACUCAGCAACUCGUAGACAUAAUACUGAACUCGGCAACUCAUAGACAUAAUACCAAACUCAGCAACUCAUAGACAUAAUACUGAACUCGGCUACUCAUAGACAUAAUACUAAACUCAGCUACUCAGACAUAAUACUAAACUCAGCAACUCAUAGUCAUAAUACUGAACUCAGCAACUCAUAGACAUAAUACUAAAUUCAGCAACUCAUAGACAUAAUACUGAACUCGACAACUCAUAGACAUAAUACUUAACUCAGCAACUCAUAGACAUAAUACCAAACUCAGCAACUCAUAGACAUAAUUCUGAACUCAGCAACUCAUAGACAUAAUACUGAACUCAGCAACUCGUAGACAUAAUACUGAACUCAGCAACUCAUAGACAUAAUACUGAACUCGGCAACUCAUAGACAUAAUACUAAACUCAGUAACACAUAGAAAUAAUACUGAACUUGGCAGCUCUCCAUAGAUUAAACAUCAAACUUGGCAUCUCUUUGUAUUUAACACUGAACACAUAACAUUCAGUUCUGCAACUCAUGACAGGUGGCAGCUUUCCAUUUAAGAUAAUAUUGAACUUGCCCGCUCCCUGUAGACUUAACUCGGUAUCUUUUUAUAGACUUAGCAUUGAACUCACCAGUUUCCAAUGAAACUAUGAAACUCCGCAGCUCCCUAUAGAUAAUAUGAAAUUCUGCAGCUCCCCAUAGAUAAUAUUGAAAUUCGCAGAUCCCCAUAGAUAAUAUGGAACUCUGCAGCCCCCCAUUGAUAAUAUGGUACCCAGCAGCCCCCCAUAGAUAAUAUGGUACUCAGCAGCUCCCCAUAGAUAAUAUGGAACUCAGCAGCUCCCUAUAGAUCAUUUGAUACUCCUCAACUCCCCAUAGAUACUAUGGAACUCUGCAGCUCCUGAUAGAUAAUAUGGAACUCCGCAGCUCCCGAUAGAUAAUAUGGAACUCUGCAGCUCCCCAUAGAUAAAAUGGAACUCUGCAGCUCCCCAUAGAUAAUAUGGUACUCAGCAGCUUUCUAUAGAUAAUAUGGUACUCAGCAGCUCCCUAUAGAUAAUAUGGUACUCAGCAGCUUUCUAUAGAUAAUAUGGUACUCAGCAGCUCCCUAUAGAUAAUAUGGUACUCAGCAGCUUUCUAUAGAUAAUAUGGAACUCAGCAGCUCCCUAUAGAUCAUUUGAUACUCCUCAACUCCCCAUAGAUACCAUGGAAAUCUGCAGCUCCUGAUAGAUAAUAUGGAACUCCGCAGCUCCCGAUAAAUAAUAUGGAACUCUGCAGUCCCCCUAGAUAAAAUGGAACUCUGCAGCUCCCCAUAAAUAAUAUGGUACUCAGCAGCUCCUUUUAGAUAAUAUGGUACUCAGAAGCUCCCCAUAGAUACUAUGGAACUCCGCAGCUCCCGAUAGAUAAUAUGUAAGUCAGCAGCUCCCCAUAUAUAAUAUGGUACUCAGCAGCUGUCCAUAGAUAAUAUGGUACUCCUCAGAUCCCGAUAGAUAAUAUGGAACUCUGCCGCUCCCCAUAGGAAAUUUGGUACUCCACCGCUCCCCAUAGAUAAUAUGGAACUCUGCUGCUCCCCAUAGAUAAUAUGGUACUCAGCAACUUUCUAUAGAUAAUAUGGCACACAGCAGCUCCCUAUAGAUAAUAUGGAACUCAGCAGCUCCCUAUAGAUAAUAUGUAACUCAACAGCUCCCCAUAGAUAAUAUGGCACACAGCAGCUCCCUAUAGAUAAUAUGGAACUCAGCAGCCCCCAUAGAUAAUAUGGUACACAGCAGCUUUCCAUAGAUAAUAUGGUACUCGUCAGCUUUCUAUGGAUAAUAUGGAACUCGGCAGCUCCCUAUAGAUAAUAUGGUACUCGGCAGCUCCCUAUAGAUAAUAUGGUACUCGGCAGCUCCCUAUAGAUAAUAUGGUACUCAGCAGCUCCCUAUAGAUAAUAUGGUACUCAGCAACUCCCUAUAGAUAAUAUGGUACUCAGCAACUUUCUAUAGAUAAUAUGGCACACAGCAGCUCCCUAUAGAUAAUAUGGAACUCAGCAGCUCCCUAUAGAUAAUAUGGAACUCAACAGCUCCCCAUAGAUAAUAUGGCACACAGCAGCUCCCUAUAGAUAAUAUGGAACUCAGCAGCCCCCAUAGAUAAUAUGGUACACAGCAGCUUUCCAUAGAUAAUAUGGUACUCGUCAGCUUUCUAUGGAUAAUAUGGAACUCGGCAGCUCCUUAUACAUAAUAUGGUACUCGGCAGCUCCCUAUAGAUAAUAUGGUACUCGGCAGUUCCCUAUAGAUAAUAUGGUACUCAGCAGCUUUCCAUAGAUGGCAAGGAACUCAGCAGCAUACAGAUAACUGAUAUUGAAUGCAGAAAAUGUGGUACGCUUUAAAAAUAUAUCAUUUUUAUUUUCUCCUUAAGUACAUCUUUUUUCAUAAAUCCCCCCAGAUUGCUCACUAGCAUAGCGCUGAUCAUAGCUUGUCCUGCAAGCUUCUAUUAGGAAUGGUGGGAACAGAAAGGCAAGGUUUCCAAUGUGUUCCUAAAAUGAAACAUAAUGUUCUAAAAAAUGGAGCAAUCACCAUAGAAACCAUAAACCUUCCAGUGGUUUCCACGGUGAUUGCGCAAUUGUUGGAACAUUUAUAAAUCCCACCAAGAGUACAGAGUUUCCGUCAAUUGUUAACAUCAAACAUCUGAUAAUUUACUGGUUACAUAUCUUCCAUUUAUUGAAUAUCUUGCAUGAUUGAUGAUUGAGAUCCUGAAUAUUUAGCUGUGCUGUGCAGUGGGUGCUGUAUGACUAGGUAUUCAUAGGACUGCAUGAUAGGUGACGGGCACCACCUACUUCUUAUCUAGUCAUGGGCAUGGUGCCACCAGGGCAGUGCCAUUGCUGCAGUGAAGCAAUUUUAAUGGUGUUUUAAACCUGAUCACAAUGCCUCUCAUUUUACAGCCCGGUUGAAAAUGGGGAAGUUCUGUUUGAAGAAGACAAUGCAAACCGCACCCUGACCAGGUGAGUAAUGCAGGGGAGUGGGGGAUGAGGGGGGUGAGAGGCGUGAGAAUGGUUUAGGAAGAACUAUAUCCUGCUGCCUCCAGGAUCUGCGGAAACCAUAGGCGUUCCUGGGGGGGGGGUUUGGGGGCUGAAGCCCCGGAUCUCUAGAGUUCAUGGAGGGACAUGAGGUUAUCACUGGUUUUUAUUUUGCAUGUGACAACUGCUACUCAGAGCACCCAUUAUAAAAAUAAGACUAACAGUAUAGUGCUCCCUUAUUGGAUGAGGGAUGGUGCCCCCCAGAUGACAUAUGGUAGGGGCUACUAGAUAACAGAAGCAUUGCGUUGCUAGCGUGGUGGGAUCGCAUUGAAUACCUGGUUGUACUAUGUGCUUGUUACUGGCUGUGAAUUCAUUAAGAUCCCGGACAGUAUCAGCUGCACGCUAUUCACUGGAAGAGAGAAGGGGACAUAACGUAGAAAGGCCUUGAUAUGCCAUGACAUCCCACCUCUCUCUUACAGGGUUCAUUAACUAAAGUGAGAAUUCAUGUGGAUAUUCAUUUCAGUCAGGCAGUCACCUUGGAAGCAUUGCUGGGUUAGAACAUUAAGUUCAGCUAUUUUGAUCGUUAAUUUGAAAUUCACUUUGGUAUAGAACCCUGAUAAAGUAUGGGAGUCACUGAGUUUUCCUUAGAGCUCAAGCCUCAGGUGUACGUGGAAGCAGCAAUGCCCCUGGCUGAACCAUUGUAACAGUUAAAUGUUUGCUGAUUGGUCAGAUAGUUCUAAUUAGAGAUGUCGCGAACCGUUCGCGAACUUUUCGCGAACGGUGACGCAUCACGGCCAAUCUCCAGCAGACCCUCCCUCCCAGACCCUCCCACUUCCUGGACAGCAUCCAUGUUAAAGCUGCCUUCAACAUGGAUGCUGUCCAGGAGGUGGGAGGGUCUGGGAGGGAGGGUCUGCUGGAGAUUGGCCGGGAUGCGUCAGCUGAAAAGUCAGCUGAAAAGUUCGCGAACGGUUCGUGACAUCUCUAGUUCUAAUACCGUUUCAUAGAAUCCUGUCUGAAUUAACAAGGAGGACUUAAAGGACCACUAACGAUACCCAGACCAUCUUGAUGAAGUAUUCUUGGUGCAGUGGAUCUUUAGCUUUAACCCAGCAAUUUAAAAAAUCGAAGUAUAGUAGAUAGAGCAAUGUUAUGGGUACAGGGGUAACACCCCUCUAGUAACGUCUUCCUGAGUCAAAAUUCAGAAUUCAUUCAAAUGCUGCUCAUAGAGGGCAUCUGGUUGGUGCAGUGUGGUAUUUUGCUGCGCAUGCACACUAGCCCUUCAAUGCUUCCCUAUGGAAAAGCAUUGGAUCGGCUGAGAUUAUUAACCUUGAUUUUCUCAGCCAGGGAAAUAGGGCAGCCGUGACAACAGCUUGGAGAGGCAGUAAAGGUAAGUAAAACCCCCACAGGUUUGUAUUCCUAACGCUAUAGUGUUCCUUUAAUAAAGCCCUUAGAUGUGGCAUGUACACAAAAACAUUCAUAUUUUAUACAUUUUGUAUAGAAUACAGAAAAAUUGAUUGUAGCAGAAAAAAAUCAGGGCUGCCUUAUGUUCAUCUCAAACAUUUACCGCCUAUUCUGGAAUACAUUUCCAGGUAUCUAGUAUCUCUUCUGUAUCACGGUUUGCAAUUACCACUUCCACUGGUAUACAGUUUGGUAUCUCCUACUCUUCUAUAUUACGGUGCCACUUCUGUAAAGUAACACAUAUUAACUUCAACGAAUGGCCUCUUGUAUAAUAGCUUCUUAUUGUAUAACAAAACACUGCCUUCUUCGUUUUAUUUAAACUACAUCGAACAGAGAGAGAAGCAUUUCCAAAAAUCACGUUGAUGUUUGGGGGCAAAAAGCCAAUUUGUAUUGAGACCACUUGCUUUGUAGCCUGUUCACGAGUCAGAUAGCAUGUCUAGAAGGGGCAGUUCUCAAGUAUGACUAAAUUCUGUGUAUAAAAAUAUUGUUUCUUAAAUGUAACCUUUAUAUACUUUCUAGAAUUACUUCUUCAUGUCCCAUGACGUCACCAUCUGAGGAACAUCCAUCAGUCCAUCCCAGUCCUGAGUUCGUGGCUUGUUUUAAGUUGCCUGUGAGUGUUCAGCAGGACACAGGCAGCUAAAGCAAGUCUGGAAAGCAGGAGACCACACAGCCAUGGACAUCGAAACUGCUAUCACCCCUGACCACGACCAGUGGACGACUAGUCCACCACAACACCACCUGGUCAUCUUCUUAGUACAUAAGACAAUGCUACAGCUCUAUGUACUAAAAGAACACUCAACCAGAGACAAGGAACACAUUAAAAACAGUUACUAACAGCUUAUAUGUAAUGUUUUCUACAAAUUCUACAAUUCUUGCAAACUAAACGCUAUAGUUUACUAAUCAUGGUUGAGCUGAAUAAGAACCUUCUAGAGACGGUCGAUAGCAGAUGUAACUCCACCACCCUCAGUGCGAGAAGAUGGGAGAGUCUGGUUUAAAUAUAAAUUUGUCGGUAACCCUCUUAUGUUGUAGAGCGCCGUGUCACCUAUCUAAAAAACUGUAAUAAAUUUGUAUCCAGAUUGAUUUUAGCAAAUAUCAGAAAUUUCAUUUUGCAUCCACCAAGGAUAUCAGUUUCACAUUUGAGCUCUUACAAGGAUAUUCAGGGCAUUCCGUGUGCUGUGAAUAACUCUCUUUUACCCGGGUUGCUUAGACAAUAGGCAGUAAGCAGAAUUUCUUGGAGUUGGUCAAAUGGUGUCGCCCAGUGGAAGUAGAGGUCAAGGCGGUUGUGGAGCAGAUUCUGAGCAGGUUUAUGAACAGAUAGUGUUUAAUAAUAGAAGCUAAAUUCAAUGUAAACAGAAUGAGCCGGCAACUUGAAAAAAAAGCAAAAAAAUCUUCCCCUACCAUCUAUGCAGAGUGAUUUAUAUUGUGUACAGCAAAAGCAAAUAGGAACGUUUGAAAAGCAGAAAUCUGCACACUUUUAUAUAUUUACCAAGAAUAUUAUUCAUUCAAAAAUAAAAAUAUAUGAAUAUUAGUACAUACUAAGUGUCCGUCUUUAUGCAUGUUUGUCUGUAUAUUUAUCUGUCUGUAGGAGUUUUAGUCCACCCUCUGAUUAACAUGUUUUAACAUUUAUCUUUUUUUCUAUGCAAUUUUAAACUUAAUGUAAAUUUUACAUUUUCUAUCAGUUUCACUCCAGGCAGGAGUUAUAUCCAAUGCAUGCAAUGAGAUAUGCACUGAAUAAGCCUAAAUUUGUAAAACGUGCAGACUAGUGAGAUAGCUCAAUUGGUAAAUGCACUAACUGCAUAAAUUCUACAGAAGCUCGUUGUCAGCACAGCCUGGGAUUACUGGGCAGACACAAGCACUGUGUAAGAUAAUUUCAUUACAGCAGCUGGCAGUAUUUUCUGAAACACUGCACUGUCCCCUAGUGGCCAUAGAGGGGAAAACAUCAUAGCUCUUCGCAAUAUAACCUCUAUAUGAAUCACCCGAGCAGUUAGUAUUUUAUCAUUAACGUGUAUUUAUAUUGUGUCAACCAUUUACACAGUGGUGAUAGUACAUAUAAAGUGGAUGUACAAUAAGCAAUCAUGUGGAUUAUAUGGUCCUUUUUAAUGAUGUGAUAGAAUGUCCAAAAGUAGAUAAAUGUCAGCGCUGUGCAGUAGCCCCAAAUAAGUGUUUGUGGGGAAGCUGGGUAUUGAGAUAAAUGUGUAUGAUUUCCACCUCCACAGCGGUGGUUUAGGAAAUUAGUAUUCCGUGUAAACUUGGUAUCCAACAGCAGUGAUCACAGUAACGUAUCUUCAAAGAUACAAACCAAGCAGAGAUGAGUUAGAAGCCUUUCAUCUUACCUUUCCAGGCAGACACCUUUGGCAGUUAAGUGCUUUGUCAUCCCUCCAUUUGAACUUGCAGCAUUUCGGCUGGAUCCUUGGACAUUUUCUGGAUUUCUACUGCACCAACAGAGUGGUAAUCCUUUCAGCACACUGCUUAUCUGCUACAUAUUCUGGACUCUGUUUGGAUCCUUAGAUGGAAAGUAGGAUUUAAACACCAUCUUUUUUACUGUGUAUGAGUUUUUUAUAAGAUUUGGAGUUUCGUUUUUACAUGAUAUUAAUAAACUGUGUUGCACUUUCUUUGCUUGGUUUAUAUCUUUGAAGAUACGUUACUGUGAUCACUGCUGUUGGAUACAAAGUUUACACGGAAUACUCCUAAUUUCCUAAACCACCGCUGUGGAGGUGGAAAUCAUACACAUUUAUCUCAAUACCCAGCUUCCCCACAAACACUUAUUUGGGGCUAUUGCACAGCGCUGACAUUUAUCUACUUUUGGACAUUCUAUCACAUAGGUUUGCGGAAUAACCUUUUAUGUUUGGCAGCUAAAAAAAAAAUAUUUAUCUUUGGACUUUUAAUAUUUGGUGUCAUACAGACGAUUUAAUUUUAUAUUGCGCUUUUUUGUUCUAUUUUUUAUAUAAUAAAAUGGGCACACCUCUUAUCUAUAUAAUAUUAUCUAUAUCUGAGCUGCUUUUCUACCCCUAAAAAACAUAAUCAGCUCAUUCUCCAUUCUGUCCCUUUUUUUUGGCACCAUGGAACUCCUCCAUUGUCCAUUUAGUUUGUUACGUGAUACAUUCGGAGUUAUUUCGUAGUUACAGAAUUCAGAUGAACUGCUGAUAACCCAAAGUUCAGACGAAUCGCAAUUCAUUUGUAAUCGAAUGCAGAAGUCUAGGAUACAUAGCAGCUCACACUGGAGAGAGGGCAAUUAACAAAACCUACAAGGCAGGGCUAGACUAUGGCCAUUACAACUUUGCAAAGAUGACCCAGAAAGUCAGAUAUUCUGGUUUACACUACAAAAUAUUGAAACUUAUAUUUGCAUAAUAAUUCCACUUUAAGGGGCCAUUAAAGGCAACUAGAUCACUUCAUCCCUAGUGGCUCUUCCUGACAUCUCCUAGCGUCACAUCCGAUGUGAGAACCAAGUUAAACCCAGUUCUUUUAAGUAGUCUCCAUUUCAUCGGAGGAGCGCAGCGCCGGGCUUUGGAGCAUUGCGAAGCGUAGGGUUUGACGAAGCAGAAGAGUCAGAAUGACAUCACGGGAGGAGGAUUGAGCAGGGACUGGAUUUGGUGCUGUAAAAAAAACCCCAUAAGUAAAUCCCUUUUAUCCAAUUUACAUUGAGAUUAAGGGAUGGGGGGAAAUUAAACUAAAUGCAAAGGAGAACACUAUACAGGUUUGUAUUCCCGAUCCUUUAAUUUUACUUCAAGUAAAGAGAUAGAAAGAUAUCGAGCAAGAGGAGACUCUGCAAGAUUAAAUAAAAUAGAUUUUUCUAAACUGAAAGCACAAUUUCAGUUAUUUCUUUUUAUCAUUGUAUAAAAUGUCAGAUGGUGACUCCUCCAUUUCUGUCAUUUUUCCUCCAGUAUUUAACCUCAUGUGUAACCAUCUUGUGAAAUCAACAAUAGAUUUAAAAAACCAUAUUUACCAACGCAGACUGUAGCCCCAUGUAGCCAAAGCGCAGUUUAACGGAAAAGGGCCUUGACAGGGGUUAGGAGGUGGGCAUAGGAGGAAGCAAGCAGGGAUUGGAGUUGUGGGAAAGGGGGUUUGGCUAUUUAAAUAGGUAGCCAUUUUGGAAUGAGUCACUUUUAAUCUCCUACCUGGCUUAGUUUGUCCCACCCACCCGCCCUGUGGUUUUGGUUCAGGGGGGUUUACCACGUUUUGUCACAGCGGUGGGAUAGGGAGCUGAAGGAGAGGUAAUAGGCUCCCCAUGAGGUGGUCAUUGGUGGUCGGUAGGUUUCGAGUCCUGUCGGUGGCUCAGAACUUGGUGGGGUAGGGGUAUCCGGGUAUACCCCUGCCGAGGUUAAUUUAUGAUUGGCACUUUAAGUUUGUUUAUGUUGGAAUAAGGAUGGAAAAUGUUUUAUAUAUAUAUAUAUAUAUAUAUAUAUAUAUAUAUGUGUUAUCUAUAUUGGAGUCAUUGCCUUUUAUAUUUACAGAAGGAUACGGAUGCGAGGGCGGAGUAUGGGGGCAAUGACCCAUGUUUUAUAUGUUAAGUUAUUAUUAUUAUUAUAAUUAUUAUUAUUGUUAUUAUAUUAAGAUUGUUUAAUAAAAGCUGUGCACAAUUUGACCCAUAUACCCUAGCGUCAGUGUCUUAUUGGGAUAGGUAUGUGGUGUGGUUGUCCUAGGUUCUGACUGCCCAUAUGGCGACUAUACACCGGUCAAGGCUAUCUACAUAAAAUAGCUAUUUCUAUAAAGAAUGAUUUGAUUCAACAAGGCCUUAAUUUGCAAUAUUUUAUAUUUAGUGGAAAAACCUGAUUUAGUCUAUUUCAAAGCAUGUUGAUUUAUCAGCAUUUUAAAAUUUGUCCUAUUUCGAAGACGUAACUGGAGGCUAAACCCAUAAAUUUAUACAGCCAUAACAUUAACCUAAUAUUAACAUUCUGCAAUAAUCCCAAUAAUUCUUUCUUCCCACUUUUCUCGUGACUGUUUUUUAAACUCACUGUUAAUGUUCUGUAUUUUGGAACCCUCCCCACCCCUCUAAAUAUCCUAAACUUUAAUUCAAUAAUUAUAUUAAAACAAUUAUUUUAUUAAAAAAAGCAUUUCAGAUAAGUGAGUCUUGAACACAGACUUCUGCAUGUGAUUUAAUUUUUGCUCUAAUUAUUUCAUUACUUUGUCUAAAUGCACUGGGUGUUUAUAGUCCUUUCUAAACACAAAUCAACUUCUGCUUUCAAAAUGCUUUUUGAACGUCCCCUAUUCAUGUGAUUGAAAAUUUUCAUGAAUUUCUAUAUUAAUUUAUAAGUGAUAUAUAUAUAUUAGUCUGCUUUCACAUUCUUUUUCACAUUUAGAGAUUGUAUUUUGUAAGAUCUGACCCUUUGCAAACCAAUGGAUUUCUCAAUAAAAAAAAAGUUAAACUUAAAAAGCUGUGUCUUAUUUGAAGCUGUAUCCGUGUAAAUCAUGGGCGUCCAACUUUCACACAUAAUUACUGGCGCACACACACACAAAUCACAUUCAUACACACACAUUUAGUAAUUAAGAGGUCUGCCCAGCCUCCCUACCUUGCUCUGGGAGGGCUGGAGUGUAUCCUCUCCAUGAUGACCAGUGGUUGCUGCUGUGAUGGGAUCACUGUGCUCUUUUUGCACAGGUCCCUCCAGCGCCCAGUAGUGAUGCCGAUGCCGGGAGGACAUCAUAUCCCAGCUCCUGGCUCACUGCAGAAAGAGCACAGUAAGCAAUGGGCUACCUGCCUCCUUCACAGCCAGGACGGCAACUGGGGAGCAUUACAGGUGUUUCAGGGCCGCAGGUUGGACAUGCCUGGUGUAAAUGUAGAGAUUAUUUUAGGUUUACUAUUUUUCAGAUUACCACCUCAUGGUUGCAGCGUCAGAACUUUAAUUGGCUAAGCUGCUGUGUUACCCAAAGUCGAGAUCAGCUUGAGCGCAGCCAACAGUAAGCAGUAAAGUAACAAGCAAUGCAGAAUAUGCGCAGCAUACCUACAGCUCAGACUUGCAGUCAGUAUUCUCCAUUACCAGAUCGACCUUGAGCAGUUAUUUACAAACCAUGGUUUUGUUUUAAUACGGUUAGAUGCGUUUUUGAAAUGAUUUAAUAUUUUGGAUAAAGUUUUAAAAUGAGUUGUUUCAGUGUCCCUUUAUUUAAAGUAGGGAUUAUAUGAAAUGACAAGAUGAUUGCAGUUUGUUGGAUAAUAUUUUAAACCUGCAUUUCAUGGCUUGUUUUUGGACUAAAAGUGUAUUCCUUGAAAUAAAAAUAUUAUAUAUUUUUUUAACUAUUUUAAAAGUUAAACCAAAACAACGUUAUCAAGAUAUUUUUUCUAUGAAAUUCUUGUAUUUGUUUUUAUUUUUGUAAAUAUAUUUGUAUAACUGUAAAGUUCUGCAGUGCCGCCAUUGCUAGUCACAUGCAUCCGCAGUAUGUAAAAAGAGGGGGGCGAGUGCCCCACAAAAGUCAACAUCCUUUCAUUUCUAAGGUGACAGCAUCUACACGGAUUAAGGAUCUGUCUGCUCCCAGAAAUCUUUCUGUAGUCGCAUUUCUAGUAAAUUACAAUAAUUAUUUAAUUUUAACGAUCUGAAUUCAUUUGAAAAGUAUGGAAAGGAGACAGGUUAUUGUUGGUUUUAAUCAGCAUUUUAUAUUGCGUUUUCAGGAUUGACCACAUGUUUGGCAAUAAAAAGGGAUGAGGUGACACAAAUGAUAUCGAUAUCCAGAGAAAGCAAAGUACGUAUGAAGCGUCAAUCCAUUAAAAGAAAAAGUGCGGUAGUGAAUCCAAACUAAACAACCGGUGUAAACCGACAAAGAACGACAAUCCGCCUCCAGCCUCUAGUCUGGGGAACAGAAGGUUAAUAAUAUCUGUGUUCAGUGCUCUCUCGGGACAAAGGACAGAGUGUGUGCCUCAUAAAAAGGAGUAGAAGUCUGGAUGGUGAUCCACGAU
rnacentral:lncRNA from 1 species